UACGUAGGUGGCAAGCGUUGUCCGGAUUUAUUGGGCGUAAAGCGCGCGCAGGCGGCUAUGUAAGUCUGGUGUUAAAGCCCGGAGCUCAACUCCGGUUCGCAUCGGAAACUGUGUAGCUUGAGUGCAGAAGAGGAAAGCGGUAUUCCACGUGUAGCGGUGAAAUGCGUAGAGAUGUGGAGGAACACCAGUGGCGAAGGCGGCUUUCUGGUCUGUAACUGACGCUGAGGCGAGAAAGCGUGGGGAGCAAACAGG
rnacentral:rRNA from 1 species